CUGGCGGCGUGCCUAAUACAUGCAAGUCGUACGCUUCUUUUUCCACCGGAGCUUGCUCCACCGGAAAAAGAAGAGUGGCGAACGGGUGAGUAACACGUGGGUAACCUGCCCAUCAGAAGGGGAUAACACUUGGAAACAGGUGCUAAUACCGUAUAACAAUCGAAACCGCAUGGUUUUGAUUUGAAAGGCGCUUUCGGGUGUCGCUGAUGGAUGGACCCGCGGUGCAUUAGCUAGUUGGUGAGGUAACGGCUCACCAAGGCUACGAUGCAUAGCCGACCUGAGAGGGUGAUCGGCCACAUUGGGACUGAGACACGGCCCAAACUCCUACGGGAGGCAGCAGUAGGGAAUCUUCGGCAAUGGACGAAAGUCUGACCGAGCAACGCCGCGUGAGUGAAGAAGGUUUUCGGAUCGUAAAACUCUGUUGUUAGAGAAGAACAAGGAUGAGAGUAACUGUUCAUCCCUUGACGGUAUCUAACCAGAAAGCCACGGCUAACUACGUGCCAGCAGCCGCGGUAAUACGUAGGUGGCAAGCGUUGUCCGGAUUUAUUGGGCGUAAAGCGAGCGCAGGCGGUUUCUUAAGUCUGAUGUGAAAGCCCCCGGCUCAACCGGGGAGGGUCAUUGGAAACUGGGAGACUUGAGUGCAGAAGAGGAGAGUGGAAUUCCAUGUGUAGCGGUGAAAUGCGUAGAUAUAUGGAGGAACACCAGUGGCGAAGGCGGCUCUCUGGUCUGUAACUGACGCUGAGGCUCGAAAGCGUGGGGAGCAAACAGGAUUAGAUACCCUGGUAGUCCACGCCGUAAACGAUGAGUGCUAAGUGUUGGAGGGUUUCCGCCCUUCAGUGCUGCAGCUAACGCAUUAAGCACUCCGCCUGGGGAGUACGACCGCAAGGUUGAAACUCAAAGGAAUUGACGGGGGCCCGCACAAGCGGUGGAGCAUGUGGUUUAAUUCGAAGCAACGCGAAGAACCUUACCAGGUCUUGACAUCCUUUGACCACUCUAGAGAUAGAGCUUCCCCUUCGGGGGCAAAGUGACAGGUGGUGCAUGGUUGUCGUCAGCUCGUGUCGUGAGAUGUUGGGUUAAGUCCCGCAACGAGCGCAACCCUUAUUGUUAGUUGCCAUCAUUCAGUUGGGCACUCUAGCAAGACUGCCGGUGACAAACCGGAGGAAGGUGGGGAUGACGUCAAAUCAUCAUGCCCCUUAUGACCUGGGCUACACACGUGCUACAAUGGGAAGUACAACGAGUCGCGAAGUCGCGAGGCUAAGCUAAUCUCUUAAAGCUUCUCUCAGUUCGGAUUGUAGGCUGCAACUCGCCUACAUGAAGCCGGAAUCGCUAGUAAUCGCGGAUCAGCACGCCGCGGUGAAUACGUUCCCGGGCCUUGUACACACCGCCCGUCACACCACGAGAGUUUGUAACACCCGAAGUCGGUGAGGUAACCUUUUGGAGCCAGCCGCCUAAGGUGGGAUAGAUGAUUGG
rnacentral:rRNA from 2 species